rnacentral:rRNA from 1 species
AUUGAACGCUGGCGGCAGGCCUAACACAUGCAAGUCGAGCGGGUGAAGGGAGCUGGGUCCUGGAUUCAGCGGCGGACGGGUGAGGAAUGCCUAGGAAACUGCCUGGUAGUGGGGGAUAACGUGCGGAAACGGGCGCUAAUACCGCAUACGUCCUGAGGGAGAAAGUGGGGGAUCUUCGGACCUCACGCUAUCAGAUGAGCCUAGGUCGGAUUAGCUAGUGGGUGGGGUAAAGGACUACCAGGGCGACGAUCCGUAACUGGUCUGAGAGGAUGAUCAGUCCCACUGGACCUGAGACACGGUCCAGACUACUAUGGUAGGCAACAGUGGGGAAUAUUGGACAAUGGGCGAAAGCCUGAUCCAGCCCUGCCGCGUGUGUGAAGAAGGUCUUCGGAUUGUAAAGCACCUUAAGUUGGGAGGAAGGGCAGUAAGUUAAUACCUUGCUGUUUUGACGUUACCAACAGAAUAAGCACCGGCUAACUUCGUG